rnacentral:rRNA from 1 species
GAUGAACGCUGGCGGCGUGCCUAAUACAUGCAAGUCGAGCGAACAGACGAGGAGCUUGCUCCUCUGACGUUAGCGGCGGACGGGUGAGUAACACGUGGAUAACCUACCUAUAAGACUGGGAUAACUUCGGGAAACCGGAGCUAAUACCGGAUAAUAUAUUGAACCGCAUGGUUCAAUAGUGAAAGACGGUUUUGCUGUCACUUAUAGAUGGAUCCGCGCCGCAUUAGCUAGUUGGUAAGGUAACGGCUUACCAAGGCGACGAUGCGUAGCCGACCUGAGAGGGUGGUCGGCCACACUGGAACUGAGAAACGGUCCAGACUCCUACGGGAGGCAGCAGUAGGGAAUCUUCCGCAAUGGGCGAAAGCCUGACGGAGCAAAGCCGCGUGAGUGAUGAAGGUCUUCGGAUCGUAAAACUCUGUUAUUAGGGAAGAACAAAUGUGUAAGUAACUAUGCACGUCUUGACGGUACCUAAUCAGAAAGCCACGGCUAACUACGUG